GCUCUCUCUUCUCCUGUCAUUG
rnacentral:miRNA from 1 species